AGCGAACGCUGGCGGCAGGCCUAACACAUGCAAGUCGAACGAACAUUCCGGGGUUAUUGGCGGACGGCUUAGUAACACGUGGGAACGUGCCUUUAGGUACGGAAUAACUCAGGGAAACUUGUGCUAAUACCGAAUGUGCCCUUAGGGGGAAAGAUUCGUAGCCGCUAGAGCGGCCCGCGUCAGAUUAGCUAGUUGGUUAAGGUAAUGGCACACCACGGCGACGAUCAGUAGCUGGUCUGAGAGGAUGAUCAGCCACAUUGGGAGUGGGACACGGCCCAAAAUCCUACGCAAGGCAGGAGUGGGGAACGUAGCGCAAUGGGCGAAGGCAUGACGCAGCCAUGCCGGGUGAAUGAUGAAGGUCUUAGGAAACUAAAAUUCUUUCAACGGAGACGGUAAUGACGGUACCCGGUGAAGAAGCCCCGGCUAACUACGUG
rnacentral:rRNA from 1 species